rnacentral:rRNA from 1 species
AAAAACAGCUUGGAUGAGCUGAGGGUAGGGGUGAAAGGCUAAUCAAAUUCCGUGAUAGCUCGUUCUUUCCGAAAUAGCUUUAGGGCUAGCCUCGUGUGUUCCGUCUCAGCGGUAGAGAACUGAUUGGACUAGGGGCCUUCCCUGGUUACCGAAUCCAACCAAACUGCGAAUGCCGGGAACGUACAGCACGGGAGUCAGACUGUGGGGGCUAAGCUUCAUAGUCGAGAGGGAAACAGCCCAGACCAUCAACUAAGGUCCCAAAAUUCAUGCUCAGUGGGAAAGGAAGUCGGGAGACUCAGACAGCCAGGAGGUUGGCUUAGAAGCAGCCAUCCUUUAAAGAAAGCGUAAUAGCUCACUGGUCGAGUCGCCCGGUGCCGACAAUAUAACGGGGCUCAAGCAUGAUACCGAAGUUAUGGGUGUACGCAAGUACACGGUAGGAAAGCAUUCUGAAUCCAUUGAAGGUUGAGCGUAAGCACAGCUGGAGGAUUCGGAAGAGACUCUGCCAGCAUAAGUAGCGAAAAACCAGGUGAGAACCCUGGUCGCCGUAAGUCUAAGGAUUCCUGAGAAAGGUUAAUCCGCUCAGGGUUAGUCGGUGCCUAAGGUGAGGCCGAAAGGCGUAGCCGAUGGACAGUAGGUUAAUAUUCCUACACUACCGAAACUCGAUCAAGACCGAAGGGGGGACGCAGACCGUAAGCCGCCGGCGUAAUGGUUUUAACCGGAUGGUGAAGGGAGAUCUGGAUAGGCAAAUCCGCCAGAUCGUCUGCCAGGAAAAGCCUCUAAGGAGAGUUAGGUAACCGUACCACAAACCGACACAGGUGGACGAGAUGAAUAUUCUAAGGCGCUCGGGUGAUGGUAUGUUCAGGAACUAGGCACAUUAGCUCCGUAACUUCGGGAGAAGGAGUGCCCACGCAAGUGGGUCGCAGUGAAGAGUCUCAGGCGACUGUUUAACAAAAACACAGGUCUCUGCUAAGUCGAAAACGACGUAUAGGGGCUGACGCCUGCCCGGUGCCGGAAGGUUAAAGGGAGAGGUUAGCGCAAGCGAAGCUUUGAACUGAAGCCCUGGUGAACGGCGGCCGUAACAAUAACGGUCCUAAGGUAGCAAAAUUCCUUGUCGGGUAAGUUCCGACCUGCACGAAUGGCGUAACGAUCUGAGAACUGUCUUAACAUGCCGCCCGGCGAACUUGUGGUCCCGGUGAAGACGCCGGGUGCCCGCCACUAGACGAAAAGACCCCGUGCACCUUUACUAUACUUUUUCAUUGAUUUAUGGGGCCAUCUGCGCAGAAUAGGUGGGAGGCUUUGAUUCCCGGUUUUCGGACUUGGAGGAGCCAAAAUGUGAGAUACCACCCUGAUGGUUCUGUGAAUCUAACCUACUUCCGUAAUCCGGAAGAGGGACAAUGGAAGACGGGUAGUUUGACUGGGGCGGUCGCCUCCUAAAUUGUAACGGAGGCGCGCGAAGCUAGGUUCAGGCUGUUUGUAA